UACGGAGGGUGCAAGCGUUACUCGGAAUUAUUGGGCGUAAAGAGCUCGUAGGCGGUUUGUCGCGUCUGCCGUGAAAGUCCGGGGCUCAACCCCGGAUCUGCGGUGGGUACGGGCAGACUAGAGUGCUGUAGGGGAGACUGGAAUUCCUGGUGUAGCGGUGAAAUGCGCAGAUAUCAGGAGGAACACCGAUGGCGAAGGCAGGUCUCUGGGCAGUAACUGACGCUGAGGAGCGAAAGCAUGGGGAGCGAACAGG
rnacentral:misc_RNA from 1 species